UACGAAGGGGGCUAGCGUUGCUCGGAAUCACUGGGCGUAAAGGGCGCGUAGGCGGCUCUUUAAGUCGGGGGUGAAAGCCCAGGGCUCAACCCUGGAAUUGCCUUCGAUACUGAAGAUCUCGAGACCGGAAGAGGUUAGUGGAACUGCGAGUGUAGAGGUGAAAUUCGUAGAUAUUCGCAAGAACACCAGUGGCGAAGGCGGCUAACUGGUCCGGUUCUGACGCUGAGGCGCGAAAGCGUGGGGAGCAAACAGG
rnacentral:rRNA from 1 species